rnacentral:rRNA from 1 species
GGACCCGCACAAGUAGUGGAGCAUGUGGUUUAAUUCGAAGAUACGCGCAGAACCUUACCAACACUUGACAUGUUCGUCGCGACUCUAAGAGAUUAGAGUUUUCGGUUCGGCCGGACGAAACACAGGUGCUGCAUGGCUGUCGUCAGCUCGUGUCGUGAGAUGUUGGGUUAAGUCCCGCAACGAGCGCAACCCUCACUUUUAGUUGCCAUCAUUUAGUUGGGCACUCUGAAAGAACUGCCAGUGAUAAGCUGGAGGAAGGUGGGGAUGACGUCAAGUCCUCAUGGCCCUUACGUGUUGGGCUACACACGUGCUACAAUGGGGGUGACAAAGAGUUGCCAAGCUGCAGAAGCAUGCCG